AAUUGACGGGGGCCCGCACAAGCGGUGGAGCAUGUGGUUUAAUUCGAUGAUACGCGAGGAACCUUACCUGGGCUCGAACGUAAGAUGACUGUAGGUGAAAGCUUACAUCUCUUCGGAGCAUUUUACGAGGUGCUGCAUGGUUGUCGUCAGCUCGUGCCGUGAGGUGUCGGGUUAAGUCCCAUAACGAGCGCAACCCCUACCUUUAGUUGCCAUCAGGUUAAGCUGGGGACUCUAAAGGAACUGCCUACGCAAGUAGUGAGGAAGGUGGGGAUGACGUCAAAUCAGCACGGCCCUUACGUCCAGGGCUACACACGUGCUACAAUGGCCGGUACAAAGGGCAGCUACCUGGUGACAGGAUGCUAAUCUCAAAAGUCGGUCUCAGUUCGGAUCGGAGUCUGCAACCCGACUCCGUGAAGUUGGAUUCGCUAGUAAUCGCGCAUCAGCCAUGGCGCGGUGAAUACGUUCCCGGGCCUU
rnacentral:rRNA from 1 species